AACGUCCAAACUUUCAAAUAUCUAGGAAGUACUAUUAAUUUAAAAAAUGACCUACUAACAGAAAUAAUGGAAAGAAUAGCAGGAGGCAACAGGGCAUUUUAUAGCACUCACCAUUUACUUAAGAGCAAAACGAUUUCAAGGAAAACCAAGAAAAUAAUAUACAAAACUAUAAUAAGACCAGCACCAAUGUAUGGAAGUGAGACCUGGACACUGACAAAGACAUCUGAAAAUUUACUUAAUAUUUGGGAAAGAAAAAUCUAUGGUGCCAUACAGGAUGAAACAGGGUGGAGGACACGCACUAACCAUGAGAUAUAUCCAUUGUAUGAAGAGCCACCAAUAGUGAACGAAAUAAAAAAGAACAGACUACGUUGGGCAGGUCACCUUGAAAGAAUGUCAGAGAAACAGAGGGGCGAAAAUCGUAUACAGGCAAAAACCAAAAGGCAGGCGACCCAAAGGCAGACCCCGAAUGCGAUGGAUAGAUGAUGUGGAAGCAGAUCUGAAGCAGCUUGGGGGUUAGGGCGUGGAGACGAAAGGCCCAGGAGAGAUCUGAAUGGAAGGAUGUGUUAAAGCAGGCCAGAGCCCUCCAUGGGCUGUAGCGCCACUGGGAUGGAUGAAUAGUAAGCAAUGUAUGUAACAACAGCAUAUAAAAAUUCUUUAAAAAGAAAAAACCCAACUUUUAUCAAGCUUAGUUGUAUCAAUUAGUUUGGAUCAGUCAUGUAAUAAAAUUUGUAAUAAGAUCUAGACUAAAAAUAACAGAUUUAUGCGAUUAGAAAUAUUUUAACAAUUGUUUUUAUUUAGCGCAGUUUCAUGCUUUUAGCUUUCUCAAUUAGCUAUGAUCCUAACACUUGUCUGUACCAGUUGGAAAGGGGUGGGGACGAUACCCAAAAAUAAUUAAUUUACCAAAAGUUAAUAAGCUUAUUGGUUGAUUUUUAAAAAAAUUGAUUUUGUUUUUGUCAGGGGAAUGGGGUAAGUGUGCGAAAUUUCAGCUUAAUCCGGAGAUUGGGUGUGUGAGAAAUAACGACUAGGUCUACAAACGUCUACCAGACAGACAGCUUAGUCAAAGUGGAAGGUUUCAAUACUUUCAGCAGACAAAUCAGAAGCAUAUUGGACAGCUAUAAUAAUUAUACUAUAAAAAAAAUAAUUAAUUAAUAAUAAUAAAAAUGAAAAAAUUAAAUUGUUUUGAAUAAAUUAGUAAACUGUUUUUAUACACUUUAUAAAGUGUGUAAUGGUGUAAUCAAAUUAAAUGACCUGUGUUUUUGAUUAUAAAUAGUAAUAGUAAUAAAAAUGGUGUAUUUUUUUUACUUUUAUGAAAAAUUCGGCUUACAAAUUUAACUUUUAACAAAUUUGU